AGCAGAUUUGAUUAUCCUUGUUUCACAGAUGAGAAAAUUCAGAACCAAUUAAAUGUAUGGAUGACUGAGACUGAGCUCAUCAAAUAUCCAUGUGCUUCCUGUUUGUUUUCCAGCUUCUCCAGCAGUGAAGUUGGAGCCUUGUGACCUGUGCCCGACAGACUGUACUGUGAGCAGAAGCAGUGUGUUUUCCUGAGCUAAGGCAGUUCCCACGAGUGAACCUCCCUGAGCUGUAGAGACCUCGAACAAUGUGUGUUUCAGUUGGCCUACCUGACAAUGGAGAGGGCUAACACACAUCGGACAGGAUGAGUGUGGAAAAUAAUUCAUUCUCACGUUAAUCACUGGAUUUCCGAGUUUGCACUUGCAACCCCUAAUGUUCAAUGCCUUUACUAAUGUAGAUAUUGGAAAUUGAAGUUAGAUGCUACUGUAUCAAAAACAUAAAAUAUAUGCUAUUGGGUCAGUUUCAGAUGUGAAUGGCGAGGUGACUGGUAUUAGAGGAAGAAAAUGUAGUGGUUGGGUCAGGCUAACCCAAAGCAUAAAAGGACAUUGCCACCUGUGAUCAGAAGGGAGGUUAGCCACAUGCUUAUUGUUUUGCAAUUUAGAAAAAGAGCUUGGAAAGAAGUGUGUUUUCUGAAUUGGCUACUAUUGGUGGUAGUUGGCAAGAUGCUGUAGAGGUGAAUUGAGCGGGGAAAAAGUUACCAGCUAGCAAUUAGAAAUCAAAAGGGGCCAGGCGCGGUGGCUCACGCCUGUAAUC
rnacentral:lncRNA from 10 species